rnacentral:rRNA from 1 species
UACGUAGGGUGCGAGCGUUGUCCGGAAUUAUUGGGCGUAAAGAGCUUGUAGGCGGUUUGUCGCGUCUGCUGUGAAAAUCCGGGGCUCAACCCCGGACUUGCAGUGGGUACGGGCAGACUAGAGUGUGGUAGGGGAGACUGGAAUUCCUGGUGUAGCGGUUAAAUGCGUAGAUAUCGGGAGGAACACCAGUGGCGAAGGCGACUUCCUGGCACAAUACUGACGCUCAUGUGCGAAAGCUAGGGUAGCGAACGGGAUUAGAUACCCCCGUAGUCCCUGA